GACAACGUUGUUGGGCAUGUGACCAACACAUGCAUGAGACUGAGUCGUUAUCUCUGUCCUUUUGAGGUUGUGACGUCGAAGUUGGGCAUGCCGUGAAGAUUUUCUUCUUUGGAAAUCAAUCAAAAAUGUUUUGGGCUUCUGUCGUUCGAAUGUUAUAUUGAAAGCAAUGUUUCACUUUCGGCAUUGGAUCAGGGGAAACAUCUAUCUUUUUGGCAUAAGCAUGGCUGAAAGAAGCUAAGGCCCUCUAUGUACAAAGGUCUUCUAUAUUGAUAUCCAAGACAUUUGUUUUAGGAUAAAUGAUGUUUUCCAACAUGGGGCAUCUCAAAUUCCUUCAACGCUGAAACAACGCAAUCUCAAUAUUAAUCCACAUGUCCCUGACAUGAUUAUUUGGAGUGAGAACAUAAAUGGAGUUUGCACUACUAAGUCGGGUUCUGCAGCACCAAACUCAUCAUGGUCAAGUUUUUUAAGAGUCGUUUCCAAACAUCUCGUUCCUUGAUCCCACUGCUUCUGACUCUUCUCUCUUUUUCUUUUUGUUUUUCCAUUAUUUUCGUUUUAAUCACUACUGAUAUCAUUUGAGCUGCUAAAAACCUUGCACAGUUUGCUUUGUUGCCACUUCUUUUUAUUUCAUUUAGUGUUUUGUUUGUUUGUUUUUCUUUCGUUCUUUCAUUCUAUAAAUAUUAUUACUUCAUAUAUAUAUCCUCCC
rnacentral:lncRNA from 1 species